GGAGACAGUGUGGACAGGUGGGAUUAGAGGACUGCACAUGGAGACAGUGUGGACAGGUGGGAUUAGGGGACUGCACAUGGAGAGAGUGUGGACAGGUGGGAUUAGAGGACUGGACAUGGAGAGAGUGUGGACAGGUGGGAUUAGAGGACUGGACAUGGACACAAUGUGGACAGGUGGGAUUAGAGGACUGCACAUGGAGACAGUGUGGACAGGUGGGAUUAGAGGACUGGACAUGGAGACAGUGUGGACAGGUGGGAUUAGAGGACUGGACAUGGAGACAGUGUGGACAGGUGGGAUUAGAGGACUGCACAUGGA